rnacentral:rRNA from 1 species
UACGAAGGGGGCUAGCGUUGCUCGGAAUUACUGGGCGUAAAGGGCGCGUAGGCGGGUCGUCAAGUUGGGGGUGAAAGCCCAGGGCUCAACCUUGGAAUUGCCUUCAAAACUGACGAUCUAGAGUAUGGGAGAGGUGAGUGGAAUUCCUGGUGUAGCGGUGAAAUGCGUAGAUAUCAGGAGGAACACCUGUGGCGAAAGCGGCUCACUGGACCAUAACUGACGCUGAUGCACGAAAGCUAGGGGAGCAAACAGG